rnacentral:tRNA from 1 species
GGUCAGAUGGUGUAGUGGCAGCACACCUCCGCUCUGCGCGAGGAGGCGCGGGUUCGAUUCCCGCCGGUCCG